GAUGAACGCUAGCGAUAGGCUUAACACAUGCAAGUCGAGGGGUAACAUGUCGGAAGCUUGCUUCUGAUGAUGACGACCGGCGGAUGGGUGCGUAACGCGUAUGCAACUUGCCUCACAGUGGAGGAUAACCCGGAGAAAUCCGGACUAAUACUCCAUACACUCCGUAGGAUGCAUAUCCAAUGGAGGAAAGAUUUAUCGCUGUGAGAUAGGCAUGCGUCCUAUUAGGUAGUUGGUGAGGUA
rnacentral:rRNA from 1 species